CCUACGGGGUGCAGCAGUGAGGAAUAUUGGUCAAUGUCCGAGAGGCUGAACCAGCCAAGUCGCGUGAGGGAAGACGGCCCUACGGGUUGUAAACCUCUUUUGUCGGGGAGCAAAGCGAGUCACGUGUGACUCAUUGAGAGUACCCGAAGAAAAAGCAUCGGCUAACUCCGUGCCAGCAGCCGCGGUAAUACGGAGGAUGCGAGCGUUAUCCGGAUUUAUUGGGUUUAAAGGGUGCGCAGGCGGAGGUGCAAGUCAGCGGUCAAAUUGCGGGGCUCAACCCCGUACUGCCGUUGAAACUGCAGCCCUUGAGUGCGCGAGAAGUAUGCGGAAGGCGUGGUGUAGCGGUGAAAUGCAUAGAUAUCACGCAGAACUCCGAUUGCGAAGGCAGCAUACCGGCGCGCAACUGACGCUCAUGCACGAAAGCGUGGGUAUCGAACAGGAUUAGAUACCCCGGUAGUC
rnacentral:rRNA from 1 species